UAAUACGGAGGGUGCAAGCGUUAUCCGGAAUCAUUGAGUUUAAAGGGUCCGCAGGCGGACUAAUAAGUCAGUGGUGAAAGCCCAUCGCUCAACGAUGGAACUGCCAUUGAAACUGUUAGUCUUGAAUUCGGUCGAAGUGGGCGGAAUGUGUCAUGUAGCGGUGAAAUGCAUAGAUAUGACACAGAACACCGAUAGCGAAGGCAGCUCACUAGGCCUGAAUUGACGCUCAGGGACGAAAGCGUGGGGAGCGAACAGGAUUAGAUACCCUGGUAGUCCACGCCGUAAACGAUCAUUACUCGUUAUUGGCGAUACACUGUCAGUGACUAAGCGAAAGUGAUAAGUAAUGCACCUGGGGAGUACGAUCGCAAGGUUG
rnacentral:rRNA from 1 species